AAGGUUUAAAAGACUGAAAUUUUCUAAGUUAAAAUUCCAAAUAAUUGAGCUGAUGCUCAGGGUACAGUGGUUACACAGGGUACACUUGGGUACAGCAGGUUACAACACUAUAAGAAAUGGAUACAAAGGUUUAGAGGACUGAAAUUUUCUAAGUUAAAAU